rnacentral:rRNA from 1 species
GUCUACGGCCAUACCACCCUGAGCACACCGGAUCCUGCCUGACCUCAGGAGCUAAGAGGGAUUGGGCCUGGUUAGCACUUGGACGGCAGAAGGAGGGCAAGUGAAAUCUGCUGUGUGUU